rnacentral:rRNA from 1 species
ACGAACGCUGGCGGCGUGCUUAACACAUGCAAGUCGAACGCUUCUAGAGGUUGGAGGUUAGAGGUUAGAAGUUGGAUUGAAAGCCCAAAUCGUGGGCAGAAGGUUUAAAGGAAAGCCUGAGAUCUAAUUUCCAAUUUCCAAUCUCCAACUUCCAGGAGAGUGGCGAACGGGUGAGUAACACGUGGGUGACCUGCCUGGGAGACUGGGAUAACAGCUCGAAAGGGCUGCUAAUACCGGAUGACACCAUGGGGAUAGUCUUCAUGGUCAAAGUGCUUAGCGCUCUCGGAUGGGCCCGCGUCCCAUUAGCUAGUUGGUAGGGUAACGGCCUACCAAGGCGACGAUGGGUAGCCG